rnacentral:tRNA from 1 species
CUUAGCAUACCAAGACGUAGCUUAACACAAAGCACUCAGCUUACACCUGAGAGAUACCUGCUCAUACAAGU